GAUGAACGCUGGCGGCGUGCUUAACACAUGCAAGUCGAACGGAAAGGCUCCUGCUUGCAGGGGUACUCGAGUGGCGAACGGGUGAGUAACACGUGGGUGAUCUGCCCUGCACUUCGGGAUAAGCCUGGGAAACUGGGUCUAAUACCGGAUAGGACCACAUUUUGGAUGGUGUGGUGGAAAGUUUUUCGGUGUGGGAUGAGCUCGCGGCCUAUCAGCUUGUUGGUGGGGUAAUGGCCUACCAAGGCGUCGACGGGUAGCCGGCCUGAGAGGGUGUACGGCCACAUUGGGACUGAGAUACGGCCCAGACUCCUACGGGAGGCAGCAGUGGGGAAUAUUGCACAAUGGGCGCAAGCCUGAUGCAGCGACGCCGCGUGGGGGAUGACGGCCUUCGGGUUGUAAACUCCUUUCGCUAGGGACGAAGCGCAAGUGACGGUACCUGGAGAAGAAGCGCCGGCUAACUACGUG
rnacentral:rRNA from 1 species